CAUAGACGGAGUGGUGGCCAUUUUUUCGGGCACCACUAUAUACCCCUGGGGAGUGACGGAUUACAAUUAUUACAAUCACUCGACCAUUGAGAAGCCCCUCAAUUCAAAUCACGUCAGUUUGACAACAGUUGUCAUUUCCAUUUUUGUUUACCUCCUGUUUCUGAUUCAAUGAAUCGAGACGAGUAUCAUCAUAUGUAUCUGAAUCCAUCGUAUGUAGCAGAAGGAAAUGGAACUAAACCGCCGAUAAUAAUCCACAUCGAUGAUAUCAUCAGAAAGAACGAUAUCCCUUGGACAGACUUGGAUCUUUUCCUUGCAAGGAAAGCCAUCAACGUCCUCCUUGAUAUAGUGGUCGCUGACUCAGGAAUUCGGAACACAAUUAUCCAGACUGACAAUGCCUAAGCAAGUUUUUAUAUCUGUGGAGAUAUCAGAGGAAAUGGAGGAAAUCGUUGUUCCUAGUGGGCUCACUUGUCACUUCCACUCCGAAUGCCGUUGCGUUUGUAAAAGUUUCAUCUGUUGUAUGUCCCGAUAGCGCCUGCACUCGAUAAUCCUGUGAGUGCGUGAAGAAAAGGAAGACGCUAAGAGAAAAGAUAUCAAUCAGCUGAAGAAAUCGCUGCUCACCAUGCCGUUCGAAACUGCAGAAAAGCUAAAGCUAAUCGUCGUCGAACAUUGCGCAUAUUAGGAAAUAUCAACAGCAACUCGGUCGUUAACAUAAUUGAACGGGAAAUCAAUUAGUCAAAUUACAUAUAUACUACAUGGGGAUUCUAAACUGAGAACUUUUCUGGAAGAUGGAAUAUUCAGCUGCUAAAAUUCUUGACAGCUUGUGAAGGACGGCCUGUGGUGCAAAUGUAUUGUUCUGUGAGCCAUAAUCGGGUAACUAGCGUCUCGACAAAUAUUUAUGACGGCAGCUCAUCGAUGGCAACUGUCUGUUCCAAAAGAAGAUUAUUGUGAAGCGGAUGUCGUUUUGUAUGCCCCAUCAACGAUCGUAAAAGUUAGGAAUGACAGUAACCAGUAACCGUGAGGACGUUGCUAGAUGCUACAGUAUUUCUUCUUUUGAGCUUGAAUUUCGACAUUACUCCUUGGGAGUAUAGCUUGCGAUAACUUGCGGUAACUCGACACGGACGACAAACUCGGAUUUAGUGAAUAAGUUCUUCAGAACUGCGGCUAUGAGAUGAGAUCUGCUGAGCCAAUAUUUAUCGCAGAUAUUAGGUUGUGACUACAGAGGCAGC